ensembl:snoRNA
UGCAGCCUUGUCAAAUUUAGUGAGUUCUUUUCAGUGGACAUCACUAGCCCAAAUGGCUGCUACAACAGUUGUAGUUCAUGGGCCCCACCUCCGUAUUUUGUGGACAGUGGGGAUAAAUGUAUACUACAGACAAAU